ensembl:lncRNA
UUUUCCCCAGACAGGCUCCGGAUCCAGAGCCACCAUGACCAGGAUAAGACCAUUAUGAAAGAGAAAUUUUCGAGCUCUUAUGGUGAUGAACUGAUGCUGCCCCCAAGUCCCAACAUCACCAGUUCUUUUUUUCAGACAAUUAGCAUUUAGAUUUUUUUUUUUGACAGAAACACAGCAAACCUUUGUUGAUGUGAAAGAGUUAUGCGUGUCUGUGUCUAAUGGGUCCGGUGUGAGUCUGAAUGCAGAAAGUCAAGGCAGAUAUCAGUCAGUACUCAGCUCAGUAGAAGGGUCUGCCUGACCAUAGGGCCAAAAAGGGAAUUAAUAAAAAAUGAGAGCGAAGACAGUGAACUAAAGUAAAAAUGUGCCAAAAUGACUAACGCUCCCCCAUAUGCAUGUUACGGACAGGAUAUUAGAGUUGGGGAAAUAAUUAAACUAACAAGUGAGCAGGUCUGGCUAAGCUGUCUCCUCAGGUCCGAUAUCGAUACAUUAGCUAAGACAAGCGCAAUGCAUUUUGCAUGGGAACAUUGGUGGAUGAUUGAUCAGGCUAUAAUAGCAGCCCGCAGUGCUCUUCAGUCAUUAGCUGGGUCAAGCUGGCAGGCCGGGCCGUCUGGGCUCAGGUCAGAGUCAUGCUGGAAUGGUGCAGUCACCAUUACUGCUGAACUAGUGUGAAAGACCAUUAUUAAUUAGCAUCACGAAGAACACCAUAUCUCUGCCUCUCUGUCUCUCUCUCUGUCUCUCUCUCUCUGUCUAUUACAUGUAUAUUGAGCAUGCUCACUGACUACAACAUUGCCAGAGCUUCGGCCCUCUUCUCUAGCUGCCAAAUACAGGCACACAGCCAUCUUCUUAUUUGGGGAGAGAGAGAGAGAGAGAGAGAGAGAGAGAGAGAGAGAGAGAGAGAGAGAGAGACAUGAUCAAUGAAGAGAGAGAGAGAGAGAGAGAGAGAGAGAGAGAGAGAGAGAGAGAGAGAGAGAGAGAGAGAGAGAGAGAAAUUAUUGAAUUAAGUGUGAGACCAAUCAUUUAACAAGUCCCAUAGCUGCUGCAUGUGAGAGGGUUCUUUCUUAAGCCGGUGCUCUGAGUAAUCAUGUAAAACAGUACAGCACUUUGCUUCAG